ensembl:lncRNA
CUUCGGUCUACACAUCUUCGCAAGCACGUUGCAACACUAUCCCAGAUUCUGAACCUCAAGAACAAUGAGCUGGACCAACUAGCAAACUUUUUGGGCCAUGACAUACGGGUCCACAGAGACUUUUAUCGGCUUCCAGAGGCAACCAUAGAAAUUGCAAAAAUCUCAAAGCUUAUAUUGGCCAUGGAGAAAGGAUCUCUGGCAACAUUCCAAGGAAAAUCUCUUGACGUGAUUGAAAUUGAAGAGGAAUUAGAACCUGACCUGGAAGAAGGUAAAGCUGAAAUUGGUGGUGUAGCAGGUACAGACGAAGAUGUAGACAGUGUAGCAGAUGAAGACGGUGUAGCAGAUGAAGACGAAGACGAAGAUGAAGACGAAGAUGAAGACGAUGUAGAAAACGAAGGGUCAGAUCCUAACCUUGGACUAAGGGGGAAAAGAAAAAAAAAAGAUUUUACCAAGGAUGAAGCAAACAUCUCAAAAGG